CUGCAAGAUAGAGGCGCGGCUGACAUGAGUAAGCGUGGCUAGGGAGCCGGUUCCCGUCUGAGCCAUGUCCAAAGGGAAGGCCGCCGAAGGGUCCCUUCUGCCGGAGGAAGGGGGCUCUGGUCGCUUGGUUAACAGCCCUGUGACUGUCAUCUGGGCGGGCUGCCCAGGUGGAGCGCUGUCUGCUUU
rfam:Ruminococcaceae bacterium D16 genomic scaffold acsPy-supercont2.1, whole genome shotgun sequence.